rnacentral:rRNA from 1 species
CACCGGCAGCUCAAGUGGUAGCCAUUUUUAUUGGGCCUAAAGCGUUCGUAGCCGGUUUGAUAAGUCUCUGGUGAAAUCCCACAGCUUAACUGUGGGAAUUGCUGGAGAUACUAUUAGACUUGAGGUCGGGAGAGGUUAGCGGUACUCCCAGGGUAGGGGUGAAAUCCUGUAAUCCUGGGAGGACCACCUGUGGCGAAGGCGGCUAACUGGAACGAACCUGACGGUGAGGGACGAAAGCCAGGGGCGCGAACCGG